AUGUGCUACGGUAUAUACUAAAAUCAAAAUGAUACAGAGAAGAUUAACAUGGUCCCGGUGCAAGGAUGACACACAAAUUUGUGAAGCGUUCCAUAUUUUU
ensembl:snRNA LOC120098440 U6 spliceosomal RNA